UACGUAGGGAGCAAGCGUUGUCCGGAAUCAUUGGGCGUAAAGCGCGCGUAGGCGGCCCUGUAAGUCCGUUGUGAAAGUCAAAGGCUCAACCUUUGAAAGCCGAUGGAUACUGCAGGGCUAGAGUCCGGAAGAGGCGAGUGGAAUUCCUGGUGUAGCGGUGGAAUGCGCAGAUAUCAGGAGGAACACCAAUAGCGAAGGCAGCUCGCUGGGACGGUACUGACGCUAAGGCGCGAAAGUGUGGGGAGCGAACAGG
rnacentral:rRNA from 1 species